rnacentral:rRNA from 1 species
GAUGAACGCUGGCGGCGUGCUUAACACAUGCAAGUCGAACGAGAAGUGAAGACGGAACCCUUCGGGCGGAAGGCUUUAUUUCGAGUGGCGGACGGGUGAGUAACGCGUGGGUAACCUGCCUCAUACAGGGGGAUAACAGUUGGAAACGACUGUUAAUACCGCAUAAGACCACCGCACCGCAUGGUGCGGGGGUAAAAACUCCGGUGGUAUGAGAUGGACCCGCGUUCGAUUAGCCAGUUGGCGGGGUAACGGCCCACCAAAGCUACGAUCGAUAGCCGAUCUGAGAGGAUGACCGGCCACAUUGGGACUGAGACACGGCCCAAACUCCUACGGGAGGCAGCAGUGGGGAAUAGUGCACAAUGGGGGAAACCCUGAUGCAGCGACGCCGCGUGAGUGAAGAAGUAUUUCGGUAUGUAAAGCUCUAUCAGCAGGGAAGAAAAUGACGGUACCUGAGUAAGAAGCCCCGGCUAACUACGUG